rnacentral:rRNA from 1 species
AGUGAACGCUGGCGGUAGGCCUAACACAUGCAAGUCGAACGGCAGCACAGUAAGAGCUUGCUCUUACGGGUGGCGAGUGGCGGACGGGUGAGGAAUACAUCGGAAUCUACUUUUUUGUGGGGGAUAACGUAGGGAAACUUACGCUAAUACCGCAUACGACCUACGGGUGAAAGCAGGGGAUCUUCGGACCUUGCGCGAUUGAAUGAGCCGAUGUCGGAUUAGCUAGUUGGCGGGGUAAAGGCCCACCAAGGCGACGAUCCGUAGCUGGUCUGAGAGGAUGAUCAGCCACCCUGGAACUGAGACACGGUCCAGACUCCUACGGGAGGCAGCAGUGGGGAAUAUUGGACAAUGGGCGCAAGCCUGAUCCAGCCAUACCGCGUGGGUGAAGAAGGCCUUCGGGUUGUAAAGCCCUUUUGUUGGGAAAGAAAAGCAGCAGGUUAAUACCCCGCUGUUCUGACGGUACCCAAAGAAUAAGCACCGGCUAACUUCGUG